CUGAUAACAAAUCUGACCUCUCUCGUUCUCUUCUCUUCUAGAAAAAAAUUUCUCUCAUUAUAAGAAAUCAGAACUUUGUAAAUCUAUCAACCCUUUUUCAGUAAUAAGCCCUAAUUUCUUAAACCAUAGAAAAUUACUCUGAUUUUCUACACGUUUGAGACUCAAGAAGAAGAUUCAGAAACGUGACUGCUCAAGCUCUGGUACUGGAAAAAGUUCUUUGAUUGCUUAUAAUGUUUGUCAAAUCGUCGAUACUUCUACUCGAGAGUGAUAUAAUUUCUGGAACAUCUGCAAGUGGAACACAUCACUCUAGAUGGUUCGGUGUGCAUUGGUGGAAUGGGCGGUUCUUUGUGUUGCUUUUCACCAUACUUGGUGUAUUUGCCCCACUAGCAUUCAUUAAGCGUGUGUAAGUGGGAAGCAACCUUUUUGCUUUAGCUUGUCUUUCAGAACCUUUGCUUGAAGUCCAGGAUUCUGUGUCAAACAGAUUAGGUUUACAUAGUCUCUUGGUUCGAAUACUCACUGGAGAUAUGGGAACAGGUGCCGAUAGCUCAUUGCAUAUAAGUUUUCUCAGUACUUGUUUAGAGUUGGGGGAUAUCUGUAGAGAAGUUGGUCUACCUUCUGGUGUACUCAACAUUGUAACUGAAUUAAGUCCUGAAGCUGAUGCUCGCUUAACAUCUUAUCCUCAUGUUGACAAGCUCUUAACAGUGCAGAGCAAUGGAUUAGGAGCAUAGAACUAAAGCUUGAGUCUGCUACUAGUCUUUUCCAAUCAGAAAAAGAGGCAUGGCAAAGAGACCUUGAGGAUGUUUAAGAAACCUGCCGAUGUGACCUUCUCAAGCUAUUAUGUUGCUUAUGUUCUUUGUAGCUUAUUUCCUAAAUCAAGCUUGGAAAAAACAAAUACUGACUCAUUGCAUAAUAUCUUGAAGUGAGGUGUAAGGCAUUAGAAACUCAAAGCGAGGUAUUUCAGGCCAGAUCUGGAGAAGGAGUUUGAAGAGCUCAAGUUACAAUAUAAAAAAAAAAUUGAAGGCGUGAUGCGCAACAUGCGUCAAUUUCAAGCACAAAUGCAGCAGAGAAGCAGAUUCUGGUAUGGGAUACGAUUCUUUUAGAAACACUCAUUUUUCGUAGAACUAUUUGCGAUCAGUUAUAUUCUGAUGUCCCAAAAAAUUAUGCAGUAGUUUGCAAUGUAGCGUCUAAAUGAGUUUUGAUUAUGAAUCUUCUAGCUGAAUAGGAACUUAAAAAUCUACAUUAAUUGUAGUGUCUUUAACUGAAGUGUUUUUCAGUUUAGCUAUUCUUGUAUUGACAUCAAUAUGUAGCAUUAUAACUUAAAUACGAACAGUCAGCAUUAUUGAGCCGUCAGGAAGCAAGCUUCCACUCUUAGCAGUAGUUAGCUAUCUGUAUUUUGACCUAAUUUUAUCUGUAAUGUAUGCUAGUGGAGAUUAGAAAGUAAAUGGUGGUCUCGCAAUCUUGGUGUUGGAGAUUGACAGGUAGUGAGUAACGAAUCUCCUCGGCAAAGUCCAAGGUUCUUCUCUGUGUUUAUCAUUUUAUUGUAUCUAAAAAACAAAGAACAUACUUGUCAUUCUUUUGAUACUACAUACAUAAUUUGUAUGUACUUAGAUGACAUGUUAUCUAUAUUAUUUAUUCAACAUAUGAGGUGUACAACUUCAACUUAU